rnacentral:rRNA from 1 species
UGGGGAAUAUUGCACAAUGGGCGCAAGCCUGAUGCAGCCAUGCCGCGUGUGUGAAGAAGGCCUUCGGGUUGUAAAGCACUUUCAGCGGGGAGGAAGGCGAUAAGGUUAAUAACCUUGUCGAUUGACGUUACCCGCAGAAGAAGCACCGGCUAACUCCGUGCCAGCAGCCGCGGUAAUACGGAGGGUGCAAGCGUUAAUCGGAAUUACUGGGCGUAAAGCGCACGCAGGCGGUCUGUCAAGUCGGAUGUGAAAUCCCCGGGCUUAACACGGGAAUUGCAUCUGAUACGGGUGAGGUAGAGGAUUGUAGAGGGGGGUAGAAGUCCAUGUGUAGCGGUGAAAUGCGUAGAGAUGUGGAGGAAUACCGGUGGCGAAGGCGGCCCCCUGGACAAAGACUGACGCUCAGGUGCGAAAGCGUGGGGAGCAAACAGG